GAUUUACUCCUUCCGUUCGGAAUUAGUUGUCACAAAAAUGAAUAAAAAAGAAUAUAUCUACAACUAAAAUACAUCUAGAUACAUUCAUUUCUUGGACGAGUAAUUCCGAACGGAGGGAGUAUAUG
rfam:Triticum aestivum genome assembly, contig: Triticum_aestivum_CS42_TGACv1_scaffold_501954_6BL